rnacentral:rRNA from 1 species
UACAGGGGGGGCAAGCGUUGUUCGGAAUUACUGGGCGUAAAGGGUUCGUAGGUGGCCACUUAAGUCAGACGUGAAAUCCCUCAGCUUAACUGGGGAACUGCGUCUGAUGCUGAGUGGCUUGAGUGCAGGAGAGGAAUGCGGAAUUCCAGGUGUAGCGGUGAAAUGCGUUGAUACCCUAAGGAACACCGGUGGCGAAGGCGGCUUCCUGGUCCAGCACCGACGUUCAGGCACGAAAGCGUGGGGAGCAAACAGG